rnacentral:rRNA from 1 species
UAUUAGGCAUCAACCUUUCCUCCUCGCUGAAAGUGCUUUACAACCCGAAGGCCUUCUUCACACACGCGGCAUGGCUGCAUCAGGGUUUCCCCCAUUGUGCAAUAUUCCCCACUGCUGCCUCCCGUAGGAGUCUGGACCGUGUCUCAGUUCCAGUGUGGCUGAUCAUCCUCUCAGACCAGCUAGGGAUCGUCGCCUUGGUGAGCCAUUACCUCACCAACUAGCUAAUCCCACCUGGGCAUAUCCAAUCGCGCAAGGCCCGAAGGUCCCCUGCUUUCCCCCGUAGGGCGUAUGCGGUAUUAGCAGUCGUUUCCAACUGUUAUCCCCCUCGACUGGGCAAUUUCCCAGGCAUUACUCACCCGUCCGCCGCUCGCCGGCAAAAGUAGCAAGCUACUUUCCCGCUGCCGCUCGACUUGCAUGUGUUAGGCCUGCCGCCAGCGUU